UCGGGUGGUUUUGCUCAGACCCAUUAGGCCGAUUCCCCAAAGUGCCACGUCAGACACCAGGAAAAUCAUAUUAAAAUUGCUUUAGAAACAAAUAACUGCUGGCAGAGCGUGGAGAGGACCCACAGCAGAAUAAUGCGCAGCAGCGCACCGGGGCUCUGAUGGGGAAGCCAUCCGCGUGAGACAAAAAGUCCAUAAAUUUCCUGUUAAUCUCAUUAACAAGUUGACACUUGCAGGUGCGCUCCUGCCUCGUGCCACACUGCUCAGAGGGGCUGGAGAAGGAGAUUUUCCUUCUGGCUCCUUUCAUUUCUGCACGCCGCAAGCAGGGCACUGCUGCUGUCAGACCGACGUGUGGGGAGCAGGGCAGCCCCUGCCCCUCACACCCACGGUCCCAGCCAGGCAAGUCGGCGACAGAGAAGGCUUCUGCCACCUCGCCCAGCCAAGGGAGCCCUGCUCCACGCUGCCAGCAGCCCCCUCCCUCCGUGCCCCCUCUCCUGCCCCUGCCCACCCGGGGCAGAGGCACCGCCAGGGCUGCGGAGCCGGGCGGCGAGAGCCGGGUGUCCUCUUGGUAGCGGCUGGGGACACGUCGUGGCCAGAGGUGCGAGGGAUCAUCACCUGCCUUCAGGUUUUUUUUUUUUUCCUGAGGCCACAAGGACACGGGAACUCCACCAGCACCUUGCAGCAUCGCCGUCCCCUCCCCGAGCAGCGAUGCGGCCCCGCAGCCACCUCCCCUGGAGGGACUCUGGGUUGCACGGAUGGGCGUGCGCCUCUCCACCUCGCCACAAACCCAUGGGGGUGCCGGCUGUAACAGAGCCUGAGGCGGCAACUUUCCAUGGGCUAAGCGUGUGGUGCAUGAGAGGAACCCCCCAGGCCCCGCUGAGCACCGUCCAACCCCAGUUGUGCCACCGAGCCCCUGCCCUUGGCCACCGCCACCCCAGCGCGGUGCUCGCCCCAGGUGCCGGGGCGCGUGACCCGGCUGGGCGCGCUGGCAUGACGCCACGCUGAUAAUUAGGAAGGAACCUAAUGAAACUUCUAAAAUAGCACAAUUUCCUCCACACACCUGCAGUCGAACUGGGUGGAUU
rnacentral:lncRNA from 1 species